GAAGCACUGUGGUUCUGCAUUUGUGACCUUCAUCUGGGUUAUUUUUCUGUGGAAAGUGCCCAUCAGGGCAAUAGCAAAAACACUUUGAACAAAAGCAGGCAACCACCUGCUGGCUGGAAGACACUGCAAGCACCUUAUGUGUGUUUGGGGGACACACUGAUGUUUGAAAUCCCAAUUAGUCUGCUGAGUCUGAUGGAAAGGUGGUUUGCAUUGGAAGGAGAGAGGGGAGGAAAAAAAGAAAGAAUAUCCAAAAGAGGAAGCCUUGUAAGGCAGCCGGCUAGACUAUUAUCUGCUGCACUGCAUUUCAUCAGUGGAAAUUGCUUCUUAUUUGUGAAACAGCUGUCACAUUUCACUCCAGAGGUGGUGAGUUUUUGUAAGCAUACACACACAAUAAUGGGUUUUGAUUUCCACAAAUAAAAUCCUGUCCUGGCUCUGAAAUGAAAGCAUUUUGGAUGCUAAGUGAAAACAAUAUUGUUCCUGUGUAUUGAAGAACAGCAGUCCCUUUCCACUGUAACUUUAUGAAGAUGGAGAACAUUUCCUUCUCCUCUCCUUCUGUUUUGCCAUGAAUACACAAGCACCCAAAAAGUCAUCCUCCCUCUGAUAGGCACAAAAAAUUCCCAACAACACGAGCUUGAAGGGUUGCCCAGGUGGGAAAAAAUCUUUGCAGAUGUUACUGUAAUUUCCCUAGUUUGAUUGUGGAAACCCAGCCUGCUUUGCACAUUACUCCAUGCUGUUUUCCUUACCCGGUCAUGAACAGUACAAUGUUUCUCCUGCUUUAUGGAAGUUGCAUACAAGUUACUUUUGCAAAGCUAACUUUCCAAUCUAGCUAGCAAAUAAUUUUUCAUUACAGCUCCUCAAUUUUUCAUACAUCAUGGACCUUAUGGGGAAAUCAAUGGCAAUGCAGCACCUCUGUUAGGCAAGCUCUGCCUUAAAGGCAUUGCAAAGCAUAAUAAGUAUGAUUAAUAUUUCUGUUCCUCAAAAACUUCUUGUUAAGCUACUGAUCUUUUCUAAUCUCUCGUGUGGCUCCUUAACACAGGUUUGCAUUGAUUUUUUUCUGCAGAUCAUUUUAGUUCUCACACAGUUUUAACUCAUCUUGCGUUCUUGACACAGUUUGAUGCUUCUGGACAUAUUGGAGGACAGAGUGAGCUGGAGAGUCUCUUCAGACAGUUGGUUUUGGUUUUGCAUUUGAACUUCCCAGGUUUCCUCUUAUCGUGAGACAGACAGGCAUGGGUAGCUUCCAGCUGAGAUAUCUUCUGAACUUCUUGCUUAUUUCUGCACAUAAUGAAGCAUCUGUGUACAAAUCACUUCUUGGAUGUGCAGCUGGCCUGGGUCGUAAACGAUGACUGAAAAUCUGUUCAUAGAGAGGUGAAUUUGAAUUGACUGCUGUGGGUCAACUCCAUUCUCAAAUAUAUAUCUAAAAUAUACCUUGCAUGGGACAGAGCAGAUCCCACUCCUCAGCUUCUGUGGCAAGCUUUGCUAAUAUAUUACGAUGUAUUAAUUUGUACUAUAAUCAGCAGAGCUGCAGGAAAUUAUGCUAAUCUGUGGUACUGGGUUAUACUUAAUAGUACUGGGUUAUACUUAAUGUGGCAGAUUUGCCUUUGAUGUGAAGUCACCUGUUACUGCUUAGCAUAUAGGAUGUCAGAACUAUGCAGAGAUUGCUGAUAGCUGUCAAUCUGUGCAAUAUGGGAGCUGUGUUGAAAGCACAGGACAGAAGAAACCUGCAAGCCUGCCUCAAAAGGAAUGUAGAGGUGGAAGGAAUCACUGUUGCAGGCUGGGUCUGCUCCCGUGGGCUGUCUGCAGUCAGAACUGGAGGAGCAUCCAGGAUGUCCCCUGGUCUCCUUCACUCCGUGUUGCAGCAAGGUUGGAGUCACAGUGUUGGCAUUCAGGUUGCCUCCAUGCCAGUGGUAGCUGAGAGAGAACAAAAGGAGCUGGAAGAACUGAGUUGGAGAGAAAGCUGUAAUUGCUGAACAUGCAUCAUUUGCCUUAAGGUUAAGCUGGGAAGAUAAGAUGAUGAGGUAAAGAAUUUGGAGGACAUGUAUACAAGAGAGAGAGCAUGUCUGUGGGAGCCACGGAGCAGCCACUACAGAGUGAAUACAAUUAAACAGCAGGAAAGUAGACAAGGUAUGUUCUGUUCCUGGCACUGAAGCUGAUCUCUGGAAUGGUCUUGGACAAGGUACUUGAUUUACUUGGCUCUCACUUUUCUUGCAUGCUAUUGGAAACUUCAUUUGUUGUUGCUGCUGAAUGAUUUUUUUUAGGUGGAGCCCUGAUGGCACAUUGCUCGUGGGGAACACACACAACUGGGUGCCUGCUGCUGGGUUGUCUCCUGCAGGAUGUCUCCUGAGAUUCUGGUAUAACAAAUUGACUCUUUUAUCUGUGUAUUUUAAGUGUUACCCUUUCAGCUGAAAAAAUUCUAACAGUGAUAAUAAAUCUGUGAGAUGCUCAGAAUUCUGUGGAUAUACAAGUAUUUAUGUAUGCUAGCAUCAUGUUUUAAAUUUACUUGAAUAUUCAGAAUACAAUCUGAGCUUGUCAUGCACACUUGUUUACUGCAGUAAGCUAUGUGUUUAGAUACACUGUUGUUAAAUGCAAGAGUCUAGCUCUUGUUGCUGUUACAUAGCUAGGGGUUACAGGAAGGGAUCGUAGGUCAGUAAAAUAUUGCUAGUUGGAUAUAAGGUGAAAGUGGUGAUGUUUGAGAUCCUGCAUCUCCCUGAUAAGGUGCUGAUGCUUGAAAGCAGUGAUCAGCGUAUUGAGACUACAGUGGUAGGAGUAAGCUUGUGGUAUGCAAUGGCAUAGGAAAUGAAGUCAGUCAUUUCCUGUUCAAUUGUUCAGGCUCUUGGUAAGGCCCUAAGAGGGACAGCAAAUGCAGAAGAUUUUCCCCUUCCUCCCAGACCUGCGUUUCAGUGCACAGCACAUGCACUUGUUGAACUUGGUCUUUUUGGCAUCUCCAUGCCUUUCAGUAGACAGAGAAGGAAUAUAGAAGUAUGUGCAUAGCAUAAUCCAUUAUGGUUAUCAUUGAGCAUUCAGAAAAAGCCUCAAGAAUAUCCCAGAGCACUGCUAAGGUUAAUUGACUGCUUGAAGGUGUCACUACACGCUUUCCAGAAAAUAAUAAUUUUUGGACUGAAAUCGACAGGUCUGCAUUCACUGUCUGUGACUCUCAGAUAAGCACUGUCCUGUCUUGAAGCUGAAUUUGUCCUGUCUUGAAGCUGAAUUAUCUGGGGUAGCUGAAAUGGUGCAGAACUGGCGAAGGUAGCUGUUUACAGCAGGUCUCUCUGGGACUAACCCAUUGCUUAAGACACCUGAAUGCAAGGUCCUAGGGGAGGCUCUGCACUGUGCCAAGCUCCAAUAGCUGAUAUUUUUGGCAACAGGCAGAUUCAAGACCUUUCCUGUCACUGUAGACAGACAGAGCAGUCACAGGUAGACAUGGUUAUAUCAAAAUAUUAAAUAUCUAAAGAUGUUAUGUUCAGAUAGGGCUCAGAGCUGUAGUUGACAAAAAAUAAAUACAUAAAAAUCCAAAAUACUGUUGUGCUGUAAAUGAAACGCCAUCACUGCAGAGCCAGCUGAGUUCUGAUGUGUGAUGCAUCGGUAUGUUUUGUACAUGUGAACUGCUGUGUUGGACACCUAGGGGCACAUCUAUGGUAGUCAUUUGUUACCUGAGUCAUGUAGCAGGAGGAUGAAGUUAAGCUUAAGUAUAAGGGGAAGAGAUGAAGGAAUCAGGACAUACCAGCCUGAAUCUUUCAAGCUGAUUAUCACUGAGAUGGUUUGCAGUCUCAAGUGUUGCCUGAAGUCUCUGCUCUGAAAGUUGUUGCUGUUGUGAUUACUGAUCUAUAUGAACAGCUGGAUACAUAUCUGAACAGUAUGUUCAGCUGAGGCUGUCACUGAAAAACCAGCACUGGCAAGCCUCACCAGCUCCAGCAAUGACGUACUCCCUAGCAGGCUGCAGAUGUGUGCAUAGAUGUGUGCAUCUGCCUGUAUAAAUAACAGCCUUGUAGGUGAGGCUGUCUGUCUGAACACCUAAGAAUGUCUUUUAGCUGCAAGGUUUUCCUUGCUCCCAGUUCUUCAAAUCACCACAUUAAUCCUGUUCACAGCAAUCUCAGUACAAACUGUUUUCUGGGAGAGGAAAGUUACUGCUUUCAGGACAAAUGCAUAUCAUUGAAGCAGGUGAGUACAUGCAGUGCAUUUCUUACUGUUGGAUGACCAUUCUGCAUACUCCAUAUGCGUCAGCACUGUCUGUACAAACAGUAAAUCAAGUACUGAGAGCCUUCAGAGGGAUCUGUACCUUCUGAAGAGCUCAGGAACCUUUCCUAUCUCUGAAACUUACUCUGUGGUCUCUGCUGCAUCAUCCUCAGGACUGAACCCAGAGACCUUCAGCAUCGUGGCGUGGAGUACUUGAGCAGAUACUGAUCAAAUGACUGGUGGUGCUACUUCUUUGGGAAUAGAUGUCUUCUCAAGAGUAUCUGUCUGCCCCACUAAUGCCUCAGUGCCUCUUUGCCAGCAAAACAAAACAACCCGUAGUUUAAGAAAAUGUGUCAAAAUUAUUUAGAUACCUCUCAAUGUCAAAUCCCACAUGCUACGAAAUAUGACCAGGUUAAUCUGUGUACACAUCUCAUUGCCAAUUGUCUGCUUUUAAAGAUAUUUAAGACACAAAUUGUGUAACCAAUUUAUAGUGCUACAGAGGGACUGAUUGGCACUGUCAGAAAAUCAGCCAUGUGCAGAGGCCAGAAAAAGACUUGAUUUUUGUUUCUUUUUGCCCAGAUGAAUAGUUCAAGUAAUUAGUUUAAAGAAACUGGAUCAAUAACUGGUUAAAUGAACAGUUUGAUUCAAAAAGCCUUGGGUUUGAUCCUGUCUGAGAAAGUUUGAGCAGUUUUGCUGGGCUCGGUGAUGCUGUUUGUUCACUCUUGUGUGAGAUCGAUUAGUUGUGUUGGUUUGUUUUACCUCUGUUUGUUUAGCAUGCUUUUGCUUGUUUAGUGUAUGAGUAGAAAAAUAGCAACUGCAGAAGAAAUUCUCCUCUUGAGCACAGUGCUUGAAGAUAUGGAGCAAGAGGACAGCUGACUGUCGGGGAUUUAAGAGAGGGUAUUGAGAUUUUCUGUAGUACCUUGAACUCAACCAAUCCAUCAGCUUGGUAACUGUUUGAUCCACAUGAAAUAGCAAGCUAGAAUGCACAUCAAAGAGCCUGUCUGUACUGCUGCUCGUUGCUGUUUCGUCCUUAGCUGUCAGGCCCUGCAGAGCGCUGAAGCAGCUUGCCUAAGGCUACAGAUAUAAUCUGUUACAGGGCUGUAAUUAGGAGCAUUAGCCUGCUGGUCAUUCUUUUGGUCUCUCUUGUCUUGUUUUUUUUCCUGACUAAGAGCCCACCUGAGGCACUCUGCAGAAAAUUCAGGUCAAAUUUUUCAACUCUUAGGAAUCUAGGAGUGUUAGUAUAUCUAGUCCCAGAGUCAGUGUUCAAAUUCAUCUCUUCUCAAACUGGCACCACACAAUGACCAUUAAGAACUGAGACAUGAUGGAGGUUCUGAUAGUCCUCUCAUCUUAAUAAAUAUCCUUCUAAGUUCUUCACUGAAUAUUUUACAUUUCUGUUCAGUACAGAUUGAAACCUGUUACAUCACGAGUAUGUAACUGCUCCUUUGGUUUAGCGUUGUCAGGCUUGUUACUUCUUAGAUAUUCAUGGAGAAUAGUUCUUCCUACUGCAUUGCAAAAAAAGAGGGUGUUACUUUUCAAGGGUAGAAAGCUAACAUGUCAUUCAUAGGAAUCUUCCGUAAGCUUCUUGUAAGGCAAGAAAAUACUGUAUGGAUCUUACAUUUUUUUGUGAUUUUAUGUUCCUUAGUUCUUUUUGGAAGAUUGGAAGAUGUUAGGUAUAUUAUUUCUUGUAACUCUACAUUCCAACUUCAAGUGAUAUUCCACGUACGCACUUGCCUUAUCUUCUCUGCACUGUUUUAUGGGGAUGCAGUGUGCCUCCAGUCUUUCCCUGAAUCAGUCUUUUUCCUUUUUAAGGCACCUCGAGCUGGCAACAUUUUUGCUUUGUGAUGCUGAUGCAUGCAACUUGGCAAGUCUGACUGUUCCUGCAGAGCAGAUGAGCAGAGUGAGGCAGGAAGAACAGGUAGCAGAUGUAGAAUUCUUCUUUACAUACUUCUCUGAUUCAUAUGGGCUGCAAGAGAAAAUGCUGCAAAAAGAAAGAUUCAGGUCUAGGGAGUGAAAAGGAGAGGGAAAACGCGUUUCAAAACAACUCAAGCUGGUGUGACCUACUGUGUAUUUACUUACAGCUGAACAUAGGAAGAGUGAAAAUAGAAGCCUGUAUUUACAAAAAGGACUUUUCCUAUAUAGGAAGGCUGUAUUUCAGUCUGCUCAGCAUCACUAACACGAGACUGUCAGCCUAAGCAGAGAUGCUUAUGAUAACAGGCAGACCAAUGCCAAUGUGGACUUUCAGAGCCAGGCACACAUGCCACUAGUUUGUGUUAGUAAGCGCAGAAAUAUGCUCUCUGCACAGGUUUUAUGUCAGAGCUUUGUUGUGUGAGGCUGGAGAGAGAUAUCUGAAAACAAAAUACACCCCAGGGGAUCCUGUGCUGCUGAACCAUUGGAGAUGAUUUGGCGGUGCGCCAGCCCCUGAAUAACGAGACUGAAAAUGAGCUCUGACAGGUUAGAUGUAAUACUGCAGGGCCAGCUGUGCCAGGCACCAGCCUCCCCAUCGGCAUGCCAAGGAGCUUCAGCUGCAAAGGCAUGUGCAGGGAGAACUGAUUCCACUGCAGAAUGGAAGCAAUGACCUCCUGAACUGGGGCCGCCUGGGAGGCUAAAUCCGGGAGAGCCUGUUCUCAUGAGCAGGGAUUGGCCGUCCGUACCUCUACUGAGCCUGAUCCUGUGAACGGGCACAGAGCAGCUCAGGAGUGUGCUGGAGCCCUAGGUUUUCACUGCGAGUUGGAGAUCUCAUCUGGGAAAUGCCAUUCUAGCUUCACUUCCUGAACGCUGCUCAAUGGUUUGCUUUUCUCUGUGCAUGACUUUUGGUCCUAGAAUAAAUUGCAUAGUGUAAAAAGGGGCUAAAAUGAACCUUUUGAGCUCUUGGAUGGCUCAAGGUGAGCGUUCAAACACAGGAGAGGGUGUGGAUGGAAGCACACAACCCACUGAGUAUGUGGACAGAGAUUACAGAAUAGCUGCUGUUGUUAAUUUGGGUGGGGUGUGUUAGCAGAGCUGUGUCUGACAGGAGCCCUCUGUGGUCAACACAAUAAAAGAGAUUUGGAAGGAAAUGCUUCUGUCUGUAAGCGGCUGUGACAGACCUGUGCAAGGAGAAACAUCUGUCAGCAUGUUCAUAUACAUGAGGUUUAUUCAUUUGAAUGAUAAGUUUGCUAGCAAAUUUUUAACAAGCCUACUCUAGUGGAAAACUCAGCCCUAACUAGUUUAUUUCUCUCUCUGGACUUAAGAAAACGAAGGAAAAGAAAAUAUUUAUUUACUUACUCUUCCCUCUCAGCCCAACUCUCUUCCAAAAUGGAGAAGAAUUUGCAUAUGUGGCCUGAAUGCAGUUUGGUUUUUGAGCAAAACACUGGUAACACUGUCAGGUGUGGUGUCUGCAUCUGCAGUGCUAAAACAUGCUCAGUUUUGAGAGGAAAUGCUGCUUUAUGUGUCCAGGGUGACAGUGCUCUCAGAGACUGGUAGGAUGUGCAGGGGAAGCAGAGCUGAAGAAAUCCUUUCAUUGCCUUUGCUAAAGAGUUCUGCCUGCAUGCAGCUGGAGAUAGAAAGAUUGGAGGUGGGGCUGCACAGGAGCCCCUGCUGGCUGCUGUACGUGGGAACAUGCCACAGGUGACUUCACUGUGCUCUCCUUGGGGACAUACAGGAUGUGACAAGAUAACCUGCUGCUUUAGUGCUAUUCUUCUGCAGCACCAGCGUAGCCUGUAGUCCAAGUCUUGGUAUAUUAAAAUCCGGAUAAAGAUUAGGAGCCUAAUGUUUAAUGGCUUCUGCUCAGAAUUCUGACAGCCACCCUGACAUCGAGCUUCUGGAGACAUUUCCCAAGAUAAAUCCAGCUCUUCUAAGUCACCUCAUCUUCUGUCAGAAGCCAAGUUAAAUAUUUCUUGGACAUCAGUGUUUAAUCUCGCAUCAAAUUUUUUAGUGGGCAGAAGGGAGCUGUGGUUCCUCCCCAUGCUGUGAAUGUGAAGCCUGUUCUGCUGCCCGGGCGAAAUACCAGCUCCACAGAACCUCUUGCAUUCCUUGCCACCGGGUUCACACUGAAAGCAAUGCUGCAGAUAAUCUUGAAAUUAGUCUUCCAGCCUUUGUGCCAUCCAUGAUGCAAGUGAAAUAAGGGCCAGUUAGUUUGCAGGACAUCUGAUGCCCCGACUGCCUUUCAGGACCGGAUAAAAGCUGCAAACUAAACAUUCCUAUGGACGCCGCUUUUAAAAGCAAAAUCCUUGAAAAUUAACACUGGAAUCUGAAACUCUUUUCUGCCCAGGGCUUUCUUGGCAGCUUUAAGCACGCUUUGUGGCCUGUUCUAAUGUCUGGUCAGGUUUUCAGCUGAAAGAAAUUAUGUUUUCCUUAUGGACAUAAAGAGAUUUUUCUGGCUUUUUAAGGCUGUUUUCUUCUAAGAAAAUAUAUUCAAUUAUCUAUCCAUCUUCCCUCAGAUGGAGGGAUGUCAUUGUAUUUUACGUGAUUUUUUUUUUUUAAAGCAUCCUUGCAGUGCUGUGUGAAAAAGAACUGAUUCUUAUCUUGGAAAUUGAGAAUCAGACAUAGAAGUAAUAAAAGUCAAAAUGAUUUACCAGAACUAAUGAAGAAAUUCAGUGAUGGAGUUGAGAUUCAAAUCUAAAUCUGUUUCCUUCUCUAUACCUUAUUUUAGAUUUAGGUCAGCUCUUUCUGGGCUGCAAUUUGGGAUCACUGAAAGCAAUGCAAAGCCUUUCAGGAACUUCAGAUGGAGCAAAUAUCUUCCUCAAAUAUAUCUGAAAUAAUAAUAUAAGAAAUUUGUAAUGCUCCAGUACACUGUAUUUCUGUAUUGUACUUUGAUCUUGAAAUGUGCUUGAGUUUCCCUGUUGGCAGUGCCAAACCCCAGACCCAUAAACAGGCACUGCUAAUCACGUAAUACCUAUCAAUAAAAAAAAAAGUUGAUGCUGCAAAGCUAUUCAACUAUUUCUACAAUAUUUCUGAGCCAGAUAAUUUGCUGCAGCUGUGUUUUGAAGCCCUCAACUGACGCUACCUAAGCACCAAACUGUGGUCGGAGCAAAAAGAAAUAAAGGGCAUUUUCCCCCUUUACUUUCCUACAGCAGUCUUUGUGUGAGGAAAGCCAAAUUUAACAUCCAGCAUUUCUUCACAAAGAUUAUGAGCUUCAGCCUACAGGCUGUGAUAGGAGAAGGGGAAAUGGUUUUAAACUAAAAGAGGGGGAAUUCAGGUUAGAUGUUAGGAAAACAUUCUUUACUCAGAGAGCAGUGAGGCCCUGCUGCCAGAGAGCUGUGGCUGCCCCAUCCCUGGAGCUGCUCAAGGCCAGGUGGGAUGGAGCCCUGGCAGCCUGAGCUGCUGGAGGCAGCCAGCCCAUGGGUUGGGGCUGGUGGUGUUUGAGGUCCCUUCCAACCCAAGCCAUUUGCUGAUCUGAUGAUACUGGUAACAGGAGGAAAGAGUUAAUAGCACUUGGUGCAACACUUGCAAUGCCAUUGGCCCCUUACAGGCCCCUCAUAGCAAUGCCUCUGCUGUGUCCGUGUCAGUCAUUAAAAUACACAGAAAAUUCCAUUUCUGCCUCCAACAAGUCAGUCUGUUUCUCUGUUUUCACUUCUGGCUCUGAAUCCUCCAGGGAGACCAGAGGGCAGCAAAGAGCUUAAGAAACUUCUUUAUUUCUUUUCCCUUUCUUUUAUUUUUCAACUUUCCCUUUGUUGCAAUAUGUAGUCUCUCCCUGCAUAAGUCUGAAGCCUCAUUUAGCAGAAGAAACUUUGUUUUUAGUCCAUGAACCUAUUAGGGACACAGCACAGCAGGAAACUAGUUAGACUGUUGAGUAGAAAAUAGACUUGGAACAAACCCCUCAUUCUCACUGCAGUGCUAAGCAGUUUUUGUUUUAAUAAAUAGAAAUUGUUGGUAUUUUGGAUGACACAAUUUUUUCCCUUAAAUUAAUACCUUGCAGCAUAGGUAUUGCAAGGUAUCUCAGACGGAACUUCUUGUAUAUAACUCAUCCCUUUCCUUGACGCAUAUAAUCACAUGAAAACAGAGACUUGGCUUUUUUGUACAUGUCUCUUUGUUGUCUGGUGCGUGUUGGUAUGGCGUAAAUAAAGAGGACAAGGCCCUGGAGACUCCUUUUCACUCAUUGUUUCCUCCUUUCAUCUCACCAGGCCUUGUUUUAGUACAUGUCUGUCUAGAGCCAAAUUUCAGUUUGUUCCCUAUGCCUAUUGUUUUUUGCAGACCUAUUUCUAUGAUUGUGUUUCAGCGCUUAUUUGUGUUUUCCCUGGGAACUGAGAAAUAGCAGCUGGCUGACAGUGGUUCCAGAGCUGCCGUGGAAGGGCAGGGAGUGACGCUGAGCAGCGCUGCAUGGAGCCUGUUGUUAGGUGCAGCAUCGAGGCAAGGAGGGACUACAGGAAACGGGAACAGUCACUACAUGUGGCCAAAGGCAAAAGAUUAGACGAGGCUGCUGAGUUUAUAAGUGAUCUCUCAGAAUUUAAAGAGAGGGAGUUCUGGCAAACGUGGCCUUUUGGUUGGCAAAAAGAUAAAUUUGCUGGACACUUUUGCACAUAUAUACCAACAGUGGGACUACGAACAGAAGGUUUCAUCUGAUAGCCCUGGCUGCAGGAAGACAGUAGCAAGGGCACCUGUAGCAAGAGCCUCAUUUCAUCCUUUUCUCCCAUCUCUGCGAGCAGCCAGCAGCUCUGUAAAGACCUUUGUAAAGAAGUUAUGGAGCUUCUUGUCUGAAGGGAAAGCUCCCAGCGGUUUUAUGUGGAUCAGGCUCAGCUGGAACGGACUCCCAUUUCAGUGUUUAGCAGCAAAGGCAGUGAAGAUGCAGGAACAGCCCUGAGCACAGUGCAGUGCCUUGGAAUAGCCCCAGCAUCUUCUUGAAAGGUGCUGGAAGGAGACAGAGGUGUUCAUUUGGUGCCACUGGGUGUCCCACUGCACACCUUUCAUUAUCAGCCAGCUUUCAGCUCUGGGGUCUUACAAGAACUGAAUUAUGGCCGUCAGGUCAGUGCUGUCCAGCUUGUAAGAAGUGCAGUUUCUAGAAAUGACAUGAACAGUUUGUUAUUUUCUUGAUGCAUUUUGCUAGCCAACUAGCAAGGGUUGGAUGUGUCCCAUCAUCUCAGAGCUAACUGUUAGGAGCUGAUGGAAAUGCUAAUUCCCUGUCAGAGGCUACCAGGCAAGUUCUGCUCUCUGCUUUGUUAGAGAAAAAUACAUCGGGACUGCAGUGAGAUCAGCAAACUCUGUCUAGAUUUACACUCAUGAUAGAAUUUGGCCCAAAGAGACUGAAAAGAACUGAGGUGUCACUUAUUUCAUUGAAUACAGCUGUUGUGCUCUGCUCAGGAGAAUAUUUUAACCAGGCUCCAUAUAGUAUCGCCUGUGCUCUAUGACUAAUUUCCACAGCAAUACCAAUUUAAUACUGUAGCAAUUUAUUGACUGAAAAAGAAGGAAAUUGCUUGGUUGAAUAAUGGACAGAAAAACAAACCCGGGAGGUGCGUGGCAGUUUUCAUUGACCAAAGGAGUACAAACUGUAAUGCAGUGAACAAAGUUCCUUCGAGAGCAAUAAAUAAGGAGCUUAAUGCAUCACUCGCAGGUACGAGCUGCUCAAUCUUUGUAAGACGUUGUUUUUGUCUGCUUGGGAGCCAGACUCCCGACAUAACCAUUACUUGCCUCCAGCCAUCAGUUUGCAAAUAACACAGAAACGAUGCUAUUGCAGUGCUUCUGCUGAUUUCAUCGCCAUGCCACUGCUGUGCUAAAGUGGGGGGAGAAAGCAGUCAAAACACGUGAAUUGUUCUUAAAAACAAUCAAAAGGAGCGGGUGCUCAUGUGUUUUGUCACCGGGGAUUUUUUUAGUGUUGGUCAACUCGUGUGAGGUGGAAAUGGUUUGUGCACUCCUUCAGGUUUGCAGUUCUCACAGUACAGAGGUUACAUGGCAGUUCAUUUACAUCUGUUCUGAGGAAUGCAGAAUGGAAUAUGAAAAAUGAGCCAGCCCUGCACUCAGCUUUUUGAGGAUCCUUUCAGAAACACCGCGAAACGUCUGAAUGAAUCCAUUAAUUAAGCCUCCGAAAUGCACCACUGAAUAACGAGCCCACGACUGCCGCUUUUCUGUACUCGAACAUGCAGGCUGUUCGAUCCUCCCCUGAGAUGAGGAGGGAACCGCCUUCCCUUCAUUCGU